rnacentral:rRNA from 1 species
AUUGAACGCUAGCGGGAUGCCUUACACAUGCAAGUCGAACGGAGUGGCGAACGGGUGAGUAAUGUAUCGGAACGUGCCCAGUAGCGGGGGAUAACUACGCGAAAGCGUAGCUAAUACCGCAUACUAUUGGAGCGGCCGAUAUCGGAUUAGCUAGUUGGUGGGGUAACGGCUCACCAAGGCGACGAUCCGUAGCUGGUUUGAGAGGACGAACAGCCACAAUUGGAAUGAGAAACGGGCCCGGACCCUACCGGAGGCAGCCGGUGGGGAUUUUUGGAAAUGGGGGAAACCCUGAUCCAGCCAUCCCGCGUGUGCGAUGAAGGCCUUCGGGUUGUAAAGCACUUUUGGCAGGAAAGCGGUACCUGCAGAAUAAGCACCGGCUAACUACGUGCCAGCAGCCGCGGUAAUAC